GAAUGAACAGAUGUCGUCCUAAUGAACAGACACCCCAAUCCGAGGACAUGGAAGCCUUGUUAAGCAGUUUGAAUUCAGACGAAGAUGUUAAAGUGGUGUCGUCUGAUGAAGAAGAUAACGCAGGUGAUCACGGGUUUGACGAUAAUGAAGCAGGUCAAUUAGAAGCUGGUCUGAUUGAAGUAAAUACAGAAGUUAACGUAGAGGAUAUCGUGGAACAAGUUAUAACAAAUAUACAGAAAGAUGACGACUACGAUGAUGUUUAUGAACAUAUAUCAAUCCAACCCUUGACAAAUAGACGAUUAUUACAAUUAAUGAAACCUGCCAGAAAUUGUCCAUCAUCACCGAUUCACAGUACAGCAUCCACAGAAACAAGUUAUACACCAGAUCAAGAUGUAGAGCCUGAAGUUUUAUCAGACAGCCAACAGAGGGAGAUGAUUAAAAUGGCCCUGAAUCAAAGACGGAGUAGCUUUCAACUUCAUUUGUCUUCUUUGGUUACAGAGAGCAGAAAUGAACGAAUAGCCGAAUGGUUUAAAACAAGUACCCCAGAAGAUGAAGGUCCUUUUCUCUUAGAAGAAAUACGUGACUUCUCAAAUUCAGUUUAAUUGAAGAUAACAAAUAAACAAAACGGUGUUGAAGCGGGGCCACUAUCAACGAGAAGCAAGGUUCUCCGCAGGUCGAAACCGUGCACAACAGCAAGGGCCGCCUUCGGUUCGUUCAAAUAUUUAACCAUGGUUCAAGUAAGUCUCUACCAUGAGCACCCGAACUUGAAAUGAUUAGACUAAGGUCGUGACCAUGGUUGACCCACCUUUCGAGGUCGGCUGAGGCGGGUCAAGUCAAAUUAAAAGUGGUGGCCCGCGACAAAACAUAUGUUGUGUUGGAAUUGUUAUUUUAACGCAUACUACCAGAACCUGCGAGUUAUUUAAAUUCAUAUAGGCCUAACACAUUUAAGUAGUUGCCAUCUUAUAUAGAGUGGAUAAUCAUGUUUUGUCAAUCAAUUCGAUGUCAGAUUGAAAUUGUGAAAGUGACAGUAUUAUAGUAAAAUAUAUUUCAUCCAUUUGUGAAUUUUAUUUGGAAAAACAGCAACACCAACAAACGAUUUUCUUCAUUAAAUAUAUCAGUUUGAUAAACAUUGUAAGUAUAAAUCAUAUAACGGUAAAUAAAUAAAC